rnacentral:rRNA from 1 species
UACGUAGGGGGCAAGCGUUGUCCGGAAUCAUUGGGCGUAAAGAGCGUGUAGGCGGCUUGGCAAGUCCGCUGUGAAAGUCCAGGGCUCAACCCUGGAAUGCCGGUGGAAACUGUCAAGCUUGAGUCCGGAAGAGGCGAGUGGAAUUCCUGGUGUAGCGGUGAAAUGCGCAGAUAUCAGGAGGAACACCAAUGGCGAAGGCAGCUCGCUGGGACGGUACUGACGCUGAGACGCGAAAGCGUGGGGAGCAAACAGG